GACGAACGCUGGCGGCGUGCUUAACACAUGCAAGUCGAGCGGAAGGGCCCUUUCGGGGGUCCUCGAGCGGCGAACGGGUGAGUAACACGUGAGUAAUCUGCCCUUCACUUGGGGAUAACCUCCGGAAACGGUGGCUAAUACCCGAUACGACCAUUCCUCGCAUGAGGUGGUGGUGGAAAGUUUUUCGGUGGGGGAUGUGCUCGCGGCCUAUCAGCUUGUUGGUGGGGUAAUGGCCUACCAAGGCUUCGACGGGUAGCCGGCCUGAGAGGGUGACCGGCCACACUGGGACUGAGACACGGCCCAGACUCCUACGGGAGGCAGCAGUGGGGAAUAUUGGACAAUGGGCGGAAGCCUGAUCCAGCAACGCCGCGUGAGGGAUGACGGCCUUCGAGUUGUAAACCUCUUUCACCUGUGACGAAGCGAAAGUGACGGUAGCAGGAGAAGAAGCACCGGCCAACUACGUG
rnacentral:rRNA from 1 species